rnacentral:lncRNA from 1 species
CUCUUGGGAAGAUAUAUCUGUAUAUCUAUACCUUAGAUAUAUCUAUCUUCAUUAAAUUGAUUCUGAAAAUGAGCAAAAAAAUGCAUCCUAAAGCCUGUUAUUUUUUUUUUUUUUUCCUGAAAGAUAAUAUCCCAUUCUCUGCAAAGGAUGGGUUUUUACUGCAGGGUAGAAUGAAAGCUGAGAGCUAAAAAUGUCAUCACCUGUUUGCUUCAAAAGUCAGGUGACAGUGGUGAAUGAUGCUCAGAAUUCCAGAAAAAGAACGGAAGAGUGGGUUUUCAGGUAUCCAAAGGGCCCUUGAAUUCAAUAUACCAUCAAGAUCCUGAAAAUCUGUGGCACAGCUGAACCUUUUGUGUCUGUAAGAAAAUUCUGUAUUCAGACUGGAUGAAGGGCCCAGACCAAGAACUCUUCUGCUGGAGGAAUUUUUCCAGAUGGUUUUUCCAGCAAAUGUUUCCCAUGGCAAUUCCAGCAGCGAGCACUCGGACAUCUGCUUCCCAUCACGGUGUGAAGUGUGAAGCAUCAGGUUUUUGUAGCUGUCCCACUAUUAAGUGAAGGCUGCCCUCCUCACCCUGGCCCGUGUCAAGGCCACUUCCCUGGGCUCUGCACACCUGAUUUGGGCUCUGCUCACUGCUGGCUGGGCUUGUGGAAAUGAGAGGUUUAGAAAUGGAAGGAUUGAGGGGAAAUCCAGCAUUGGCUUCACAGACACAGAAUUGCCAGAGGGUUGGGCAGAGCUGGGGCCACUUUGUGUUCAGGUGAGAUAAAAUUGCA